GCGCAUGUUUCCCAGCAUUCCGGCCCUGCCAUGACAUGUUUGGACUUCUUGACUCUGCACUAUGUAGACACAAUGUGAACUCAGCCAAUGCUAUUACUAAUUUAUUACAUUAACCGUUAUAUAUCCUCACAGCAAUCCGAGACGAAGAAGCCUCAGUGGCUUUGGCACCGUGGAACAUUAAGUGGCAAUCCCCAGAUGCGCAGCUAGCUGACACAUAAAAGCAUUGUUUGGAUCGGGACAGAUGAGCCUACGUGAGGCGGAAAAGAGGGUUUGGCAGUGCCGGGGCAACUUCACUCUGAACACUGAUGACUGUGCAGAAGUGAGAGGCCCCUCGGGGGAAGU
rnacentral:lncRNA from 1 species